AUGGCGGAGGAACCGUCCACCAAGCAUCAUCAUGGCGAGACGUCGGACAAGAGCAGCAACCUCGUCGACGUUCACGUCCCCGACGAGAAGCGUGAGUACACCAAAACCCUCACAGGGGUUGAGCUCCACGGCAAGGAGACGCUAGAGAUCGUCUGCACCAGCGAACCAGACAAGGCCGACGAGAUGAUCUCCAAGCUCUGGAGGAAGGCUGGCGGCUCGCAUCGUAAGACCGUCGGCCUUGGUGUGCACUACACCAGGGAAGACGAACCUCCCCAGAUGGCAGCAGUCCUGCAGUUGUGCAUGGAGGAACUCUGCCUGGUGUACCACAUCGCAGCGGCCACGAAAUGGUGA
rnacentral:rRNA from 1 species